GGACCCUUAGCUCAGCUGGAUAGAGCGCUGCCCUCCGAAGGCAGAGGCCAGAGGUUCGAAUCCUCUAGGGUCCG
rfam:Sulfitobacter sp. CB2047 contig_3, whole genome shotgun sequence.